UACGAAGGGGGCUAGCGUUGCUCGGAAUUACUGGGCGUAAAGCGCACGUAGGCGGCUUCUUAAGUCGGUGGUGAAAUCCUGGAGCUCAACUCCAGAACUGCCUUCGAUACUGGGAAGCUCGAGUCCGGGAGAGGUGAGUGGAACUGCGAGUGUAGAGGUGAAAUUCGCAGAUAUCAGGAGGAACACCGGUGGCGAAGGCGGGUCUCUGGGCAGUAACUGACGCUGAGGAGCGAAAGCGUGGGGAGCGAACAGG
rnacentral:rRNA from 1 species